rnacentral:rRNA from 1 species
GACGAACGCUGGCGGCGUGCUUAACACAUGCAAGUCGAACGGAAAGGCCCUGCUUUUGUGGGGUGCUCGAGUGGCGAACGGGUGAGUAACACGUGAGUAACCUGCCCUUGACUUUGGGAUAACUUCAGGAAACUGGGGCUAAUACCGGAUAGGAGCUCCUGCUGCAUGGUGGGGGUUGGAAAGUUUCGGCGGUUGGGGAUGGACUCGCGGCUUAUCAGCUUGUUGGUGGGGUAGUGGCUUACCAAGGCUUUGACGGGUAGCCGGCCUGAGAGGGUGACCGGCCACAUUGGGACUGAGGUACGGCCCAGACUCCAACGGGAGGCAGCAGUGGGGAAUAUUACACAGUGGGCGGAAGCCUGAUGCAGCAACGCCGCGUGCGGGAUGACGGCCUUCGGGUUGUAAACCGCUUUCGCCUGUGACGAAGCGUGAGUGACGGUAAUGGGUAAAGAAGCACCGGCUAACUACGUG